rnacentral:rRNA from 1 species
GAUGAACGCUGGCGGCGUGCCUAAUACAUGCAAGUCGAGCGAACGGACGAGAAGCUUGCUUCGCUGAUGUUAGCGGCGGACGGGUGAGUAACACGUGGAUAACCUACCUAGAAGACUGGGAUAACUUCGGGAAACCGGAGCUAAUACCGGAUAAUAUUUUGAACCGCAUGGUUCAAAAGAGAAAGACGGUCUUGCUGUCACUUAUAGAUGGAUCCGAGCUGCAUUAGCUAGUUGGUAAGGUAACGGCCUACCAAGGCAACGAUGCAUAGCCGACCUGAGAGGAUGAUCGGCCACACUGGAACAGAGACACGGUCCAGACUCCUACGGGAGGCAGCAGUAGGGAAUCUUGCGCAAUGGGCGAAAGCCUGACGCAGCAACGCCGCGUGAGUGAAGAAGGUCUUCGGAUCGUAAAACUCUGUUAUUAGGGAAGAACAUCUGUGUAAGUAACUGUGGACAUCUUGACGGUACCUAAUCAGAAAGCCACGGCUAACUACGUG